AUUUGUAUAGCUUGCCACGUUGACAGGACAUACAUUCAGAGUAUUAUAUUUAGCCAUCUCCCCUGAUGGACAGACAAUUGUUACUGGUGCUGGUGACGAGACGCUCCGGUUUUGGAACGUGUUUCCGUCUCCCAAGUCCCAGAGUUCUGACAACUUAAGUAGCAUUGGAGCAACAUCAUUUGUUAGGAGCUACAUCCGGUGACUCGACGAAAUCGAGCUUGUAAGUUAUUGCGAC